UCGCGCUCUGGCAGGAGACAUAUCCAUGAGUUCGACGGGCGUUGCGCCGGAAUUGCAUCACCUUCACUCUGGCGGAACGAUCGGCAAUAUGAUCGUCAAUGAGGGGGCCGGUAUGCCGACCAGCCUGCCAUCGCCGACGGCAAGGUGCGGUGGAACUACCGCGAAUUCGGCGACACCAUCGGCCGUUUCAUCAGCCUGUUUCGCUCGCUCG
rnacentral:misc_RNA from 1 species